UUGGUGAAGUAUUAAAAAAUUCAAAAUUUAAUACAUCCAUAACAUGCUACGUUAAAGAAGGAGUUCUCAGGGCUACCAGCCUUACAGUAGAGGUUGAGUAGUAUAUUUUUCCUACAUAA
ensembl:snoRNA